UACAUCAGAGAUACAUAAUAAAUCACAUUUCUGUCAACAGGUAACACAGGUAACAGGAGUACCACUCCACCAAACUGAAAUUAUAUCUGUUUCAUGUUGAUAGGCUUAUGAUUCCUGCAGCCACAUCCAGAGUUGCCUUCUGAGGAUGUUUCUGCUGCAGUGAUACAGGCUGACACAGAAAGGGAUAAUGUGAAGAGCAGCAUUAAUAUGAGCAGGAGAACUGCGAAGUGCAAACAGGAAAUACCCUUUUCUGGUUUUAAGUCAUUUAUGUUAGUCUGUUAAAAAAGCUAUGACUGAGAAAAUGAAUUCUUUUUUAUUCCUGAACUGCAAAAUUACACGUCUCAAAAUAGUAAUAGAAAGACAGCAGUCCGGUUUGAUAGGCAAAUUAAUGGGAUUGAAAUAUCAGCCACAUGCUGUUCAUUUGGUCUGUUUUUUUCCAAACUGAAAUAGAUAAAUCUAUUUUGAAUUUUAAAAUCCUUUCACACUGGUUUAGAAAGCUGCUGGCAAUCCUGUAAAUGCUGUUUAAAAUGUUUUGGAUUACAGUGGAAACCUGUGUAUUUUUUCAGCUGAGAAGCUAUCUCCUUACCUGCUGAUUGCUGAUGAGGAUGCUGAUGACUGAAGAACAUCCAUCACUUGAAAACUGACAUUGAGACAUGUCACUAUAAUCUAUUAAAGGACUCCCACAGGAUAAAGAUAAAUUAAAAUAACUGUCAGGCUUCCCCAAGCAAUCCCUAGGCAUCAUCUGAACCCUUGAAGUCAGCAAAGCCAAGCUACUGUGAAAAGCGGUGAUUUGAAUUUCCCUACAAAACCUUUAUGUCAGUACCUAAGGUGUGGUACAUCAAAGCCCAAGAUACUCUCGGGUGGAGACAAUUCAUGCUGUAAAUCAGAAAAAAAAAAAAAAAAAAAAAAAAAAGAGAGAGUUCUAUAG